GCCGCGGUAGUAUAGUCCGGUCAAGCCUUGCGCCGAAAGUAUACGGGCCUUUCGAGCCCGUGACCCGGGUUCAAAUCCCGGCCGCGGCA
rnacentral:tRNA from 1 species